CUUAUUCCCUCAUUAUACAAGUUUUUUUUUGGUGAGUACUUCUGUAUAGGUAAGUAAAAACAUCCAUACUUCUGUGCAAUUUCUGUGUUCAACGUGACCUUUAGCAUCUGCAGAGAAAUUCAAAAUGAGCACAUGUAUGCAUUAGCAUACCCACAUGUGUAACCAUAUCUGUAGCCCUGUGGGGGGCAUUUUAAUUUAUAUGGCAUGUCCAGAAAACUGCCAAAAAGUUUGAGGGAAAAAAAAGCACAACUCAUAGUUAACUUAUAGUUAGCUUCCGAUUUGUGCAAAAAUCUCAG